rnacentral:rRNA from 1 species
AGCGAACGCUGGCGGCAGGCCUAACACAUGCAAGUCGAACGAACUCUUCGGAGUUAGUGGCGGACGGGUGAGUAACACGUGGGAACGUGCCUUUAGGUUCGGAAUAACUCAGGGAAACUUGUGCUAAUACCGAAUGUGCCCCCCGAUUCAUUUUGGGGUGGGAAAGAUUUAUCGCCUUUAGAGCGGCCCGCGUCUGAUUAGCUAGUUGGUGAGGUAAAGGCUCACCAAGGCGACGAUCAGUAGCUGGUCUGAGAGGAUGAUCAGCCACAUUGGGACUGAGACACGGCCCAAACUCCUACGGGAGGCAGCAGUGGGGAAUCUUGCGCAAUGGGCGAAAGCCUGACGCAGCCAUGCCGCGUGAAUGAUGAAGGUCUUAGGAUUGUAAAAUUCUUCCACCGGGGACGAUAAUGACGGUACCCGGAGAAGAAGCCCCGGCUAACUUCGUGCCAGCAGCCGCGGUAAUACGAAGGGGGCUAGCGUUGCUCGGAAUUACUGGGCGUAAAGGGAGCGUAGGCGGACAUUUAAGUCAGGGGUGAAAUCCCGGGGCUCAACCUCGGAAUUGCCUUUGAUACUGGGUGUCUUGAGUAUGAGAGAGGUGUGUGGAACUUCCGAGUGUAGAGGUGAAAUUCCUAGAUAUUUCGGAUAACACCAUGGCGAAGAGCGACACACUGGCUCAUUACUGACGCUGAGGCUCUAAGCUUGGGGGGGCAACAUG